CCCUUAGAUGUUCUGGGCCGCACGCGCGCUACACUGAUGCAUGCAACGAGUUCUAUCCUUGGCCGGAAGGCCUGGGUAAUCUGUGAACGUGCAUCGUGAUAGGGAUAGAUUAUUGCAAUUAUUAAUCUUGAACGAGGAAUUCCUAGUAAACGCAAGUCAUCAGCUUGCAUUGAUUACGUCCCUGCCCUUUGUACACACCGCCCGUCGCACCUACCGAUCGAAGGUAAUGAUGAGCCCUCAGGAUUGUGGCCUCGUCGCGUCAGCGUCUUGGCUGCGAGAAUCUGUGCAAAUCCCUCCCUUUAGAGGAAGGUGAAGUCGUAACA
rnacentral:rRNA from 1 species